UACGGAGGGUGCAAGCGUUGUCCGGAUUUAUUGGGUUUAAAGGGUGCGCAGGUGGGUAUUUAAGUCUGGUUUGAAAGCAGGUGGCUCAACCAUCUGAUGUGGCUGGAAACUGGAUAUCUUGAAUGGGUUGGCGGUAGCCGGAAUGGGUCAUGUAGCGGUGAAAUGCAUAGGUAUGACCCGGAACACCGAUUGCGAAGGCAGGCUACUACGACUUGAUUGACACUGAGGCACGAGAGCAUGGGUAGCGAACAGG
rnacentral:rRNA from 1 species